UCUCUCACGGUGGAAAUUAGGUUGUAACAU
rnacentral:piRNA from 1 species